rnacentral:rRNA from 1 species
UUCGACCUGAGCUCAGGCAAGAUUACCCGCUGAACUUAAGCAUAUCAAUAAGCGGAAGGAAAAGAAACUAACAAGGAUUGCCCUAGUAACGGCGAGCGAACCGGCAAUAGCCCAACUUGAAAAUCUCCCUUUGGAGAAUUGUAGUCUACAGAAGUACCCUCUGCAGCGGGCGGAACUCAAGUCUCCUGGAAAGGGGCGUCAGAGAGGGUGAGAACCCCGUCGGUUCCUGCCUUGUUGCCGCACGAGGUGCUUUCAAAGAGUCCGGUUGCUUGGGAAUGCAGCCCUAAUUUGGUGGUAAAUCCCAUCUAAGGCUAAAUAUUGGCGAGAGACCGAUAGCGAACAAGUACCGUGAGGGAAAGAUGAAAAGAACUUUGAAAAGAGAGUUAAAAAGUACUUGAAAUUGUUGAGGGGGAAGCGUUUGAAUGCUCGGGUGCGCCUAGGCUUAUGUAGUCUUAACGGGCUGCUGUAUGUGCUAGGUGCUGGCCAGCAUGGGUUGGGUUGGUAGGAUAACAGCUGGAAUUUGUUUCUGGUCUAUACUACCGGCCCGACCAAGGCGUGAAGACUGCCCUUGUCCUUCGGGAACUGCAGUCUCAAGAUGCUGGCGAAAAGCUUUCAACCGACCCGUCUUGAAACACGGACCAAGGAGUCUAACAUGUAUGCUAGUUGGUGGGUGGAAAACCCAUGAAGCGCAAGUAACCUGACUGGUGGGAUGGCCUGUGCCUGCACCAUCGACCGACCAUGAGCUUCUGCGAAAGGUUUGAGUACGAGCAUACCUGUUGGGACCCGAAAGAUGGUGAACUAUGCCUGAGCAGGGCGAAGCCAGAGGAAACUCUGGUGGAGGCUCGUAGAUGUGCUGACGUGCAAAUCGCUUUUCGGACUUGGGUAUAGGGGCGAAAGACUAAUCGAACCAUCUAGUAGCUGGUUUCCUCCGAAGUUUCCCCCAGGAUAGCUGGAGCUUGUAUCAGUUCUAUCAGGUAAAGCGAAUGAUUAGAGGUUCGGGGGAUGAAACAUCCUCCACCUAUUCUCAAACUUUAAAUAGGUAGGACGUCCCGGUUGCUU